rnacentral:rRNA from 1 species
CAGUCGCCACGGUAAUACGUAGGGUGCGAGCGCUAAUCGGAAUUACUGGGCGUAAAGCGGGCGCAGACGGUUACUUAAGCAGGAUGUGAAAUCCCCGGGCUCAACCUGGGUACUGCGUUCUGAACUGGGUGACUAGAGUGUGUCAGAGGGAGGUAGAAUUCCACGUGUAGCAGUGAAAUGCGUAGAGAUGUGGAGGAACACCGAUGGCGAAGGCAGCCCCCUGGGCCAAUACUGACGCUCAUGCACGAAAGCGUGGGGAGCAAACAGGAUUAGAUACCCCGGUAGUCCCUGUCUCUUAUAC